rnacentral:lncRNA from 1 species
GUUUAUAAGCAUUAUAAACAGUUUGAGCAUUCACUUUAAUUGAUGCUUGCGCAUCAGAUAGUGUAGCCAUUUCUUCUUCAUCAAGAUCUAAAGCUUCAUAAAUACUAGAAUACUAGUUUCAACUUGUUUAUCUUUUCUAGGUCGGGGAGCCGGUGGAGGGGUAGUAUUUUGGCGACUACUUUCACCGGUUUUAUUUUUUCCUUUUCCGAACAUAUUUN